AUUAAAUUUAUUUAUAGAUAAAUUAAUAUCAAAGAAAUAUUAUUAUCAUAGUAUACACUUAUUGACCUAUGAUAUUUUGUUUCUAUUGAUCCGAUCGAGUAAAGUAAUAUGUUUGGAAAACUUGUAAGUGUAAAAGAUUAUGAAAACUAUGCAGCUAAUACAUUAUCAAAAACAGUUCUUGAUUUCUAUAAAAGUGGAGCUUGUGAUGAAUAUACACUUUCACUUAAUGAACAGGCGUUUAGUAGGUUACGGAUCAUCCCUAAUAUGUUACGUAAUGUUUGCAACCGUAACUACAACUUAACCAUCUUAGGUAAUCAAGUGAAAAUUCCAAUUGGUAUAUCUCCAUGUUCUAUGCAUAAAAUGGCCCAUGAGGAUGGAGAAUGUGCAUCUGCUCAAGCUGCUGGAAAACAUGGAGCAAUAUUUAUACUUGCAACAUUAUCUACGUGUAGCAUAGAAGAAGUAGCACUUGCUGCACCUGAAACUAUUAAAUGGUUUCAAUUAUACAUUUACAAAGAUAAAGAAAUAAAUAAGACAUUAAUAAAACGAGCUGAAAAAGCUGGAUACAAGGCUCUUGUAAUAACUGUUGAUGUUCCAGUUAUGGGUAUUCGAUACAAAGAUGAAAAAAAUAAAUUCUACUUACCUAGUUAUUUGAAACCAGGUAAUUUUACCGAAGAAAAAUAUAUUAUACCCAAAUGUGAUGGUUCUGGUUUAACAAACUAUGUUACUAGUUUAUUUGAAGAAAAACUUGUGUGGGAGGAUGUUAAAUGGCUUAAAAGUAUAACAAAUCUACCAAUAGUUGUAAAAGGAAUUUUAAGUGUAGCCGAUGCUAAAAUAGCUGCUGAUAUUGGAUGCCAUGCAGUUUUUGUUUCAAAUCAUGGUGGUAGACAGCUAGAUACUGCACCUGCUUCUAUUGAAGCUUUACCAAGUAUAGUUAAAGAAGUUGGGCAUAGAAUUGAUGUCUACCUUGAUUGUGGUAUAAGACAUGGAACUGAUGUAUUCAAAGCAUUAGCACUUGGCGCUAAAAUGGUAUUUUUAGCUCGGCCUAUUUUGUGGGGCUUAACAUAUGAUGGUCUAAAAGGAGCUGAACAUAUUUUAGGAAUUAUUAUAAAUGAAUUUGAUAAUACAAUGGCUUUAACAGUUUUUGGUGAAAAUUUUGCUGGAAAUUUAUGUAAAUUAUCAUUUCAAUGCUAUGCAGUGUCUCAGAUCUAACUAACAAUGCUUAUGACUUGUGACGUGGCUAUUUAGGGUUUGAGCCUAAAUACUAAUCAACAUAUUCUAAGCAACCAACAGGGUUGUAGGACAUUAGAUGACAUUAAAAGAGAUAUGGUUGUUCAUGAAUCUAUUUAUUCAAAACUUUGAUUUUUUUUUUAUGUAAAAACAAUUUUACCAAUAAUUUUGUAAAUUAUUUUAUUAUCUUAUCAAAUGUUGAAUUUAUAUAUAUUAUACAGAUAAUUUAAUAAGA